UCAGGACACGACCUGGUUGAGCUCGAGCCGGUAAGUGCAACAACCCAAAGACAAGAACAAUACUCAUUAUUUCUCAGCACUGCCUUCCACUUGACCAUCCGACCACAGGAGAGUUCAACCUCCAGACCCUGUGUGGUUUCCUCUGCCUGGCCAGGGAGGAUACUUCACCACCUCCUGUUUACUCUUUACACAGGAGGCCAAAUAAAGUGAUGGGGACCAGGGAGUAAAAAUGCCUCCACGCAGCAGGGGGCAUGCACCGCAGCCUGUUUUUAGACCGAAGUCAUCCUGCCAUUGUGGGUGCUUUACCCAAGAGCGGCAUGGAGGUCCACAGAGGAAGAAACCAAGCACACUCCUGCACAGAGCAAUCAGCGCAGACAUGAGCUGAUGAAGGAUCCCGUCUGCAAAGGAGAAACAAAAACCUCUGAGACCUCUGUGAGCCUGGAGGCAGUAAAACAUUUCCAGCAAGACACUUUUGUGCAAUGCAAAAACAUGCAUGAGGGAGUUUUAGAGGGAAAAUAAGAGUGUUGAAAGUGCAGAUCUAUAUGAAAGAAAUAAAGAUAAGAGUCACAAGGAGAUAAGUCAAAUCACACAUUUAAAAUAAAUCUUGGCUGAGGGUCCUCCAUUGUUUAUUGUGUGCACUUAAAUCAGCUUCUACGUCUGAUUCAGUGAACACCAUCUAAGGGGUUUGUUGUCCGUAAAGCAGGGCGUGGACACUUGGUAGCUUUUAUUCUUUUGCAUCAAGUCCUGUUCUAGAUUUGGAGACAGUUCCUACGGUGCCCUCCUUUCAGCUCCGAGGAGGUCUGGCUGAUGGAUGGGCUCUAAUCAGCAGCAGACAGACCUGCCACAGGAAACAUCUCCCCAUCACGUCUACGGAAACCAGCCCCUUCUCCAGAGACUAGCUGAUAGCCACAGAGGGAGGGAGAGAGGGGAGGGACAGGGGGCGAAAAACAAUCGGAUUCUUCUUCAUUUUCUGCAAAGAAAAUCAGCAGACUGUCUUUGCACUGUGCAGAAUAUGUUUAACAGGCCAGCUGCCAAAUGGCAUCAUUAAACAAUACAGCAGCACCAAGAUCGAUUCACUUUGAAAUAAUUGCCAAGAACUUAUUUGGGAAUGCAGGGCUUGUUGAUUUCUCACUGAGUUUGUUGUAAAAUUCCCACAACACAUUGAGUCAAACAUCUUUGAGAAAUAGUCUUAUUUACUGUCUUUAUAAUAAAAAGGUGAGAGGACUGAUUUUCUUUCA